GUGAAUCAUCAAAUUUUUGAACGCACAUUGCACUCUCUGCUAAGAGUAUGCCUAUUUCAGUGUCAGACUAAAAAAAAUCGACAUAGUUGCUGUUACGCGGUAACAUUCGUCGGUUGUGGCGUCAUCUUAUGCCUUUGGGUUUAGGCGGCUUUAAGUUUUCUUUACGAUUCCCAGAACGUGUCUAAGCAUGUAUCUUCUUAUACGUUUAUGGUAUCGUUCUUUAUUAGACGUGGCCGUUGCAUCGUAUCUCGUCCAUAAAUAUUUCGUUAACU
rnacentral:misc_RNA from 1 species